rnacentral:rRNA from 2 species
UUAGCGGCGGACGGGUGAGUAACACGUGGGCAACCUGCCCCUUAGACUGGGAUAACUCCGGGAAACCGGAGCUAAUACCGGAUAAUCCCUUUCUCCACCUGGAGAGAGGGUGAAAGAUGGCUUCGGCUAUCACUAAGGGAUGGGCCCGCGGCGCAUUAGCUAGUUGGUAAGGUAACGGCUUACCAAGGCAACGAUGCGUAGCCGACCUGAGAGGGUGAUCGGCCACACUGGGACUGAGACACGGCCCAGACUCCUACGGGAGGCAGCAGUAGGGAAUCUUCCGCAAUGGACGAAAGUCUGACGGAGCAACGCCGCGUGAGUGAGGAAGGCCUUCGGGUCGUAAAGCUCUGUUGUGAGGGAAGAAGCGGUACCGUUCGAAUAGGGCGGUACCUUGACGGUACCUCACCAGAAAGCCACGGCUAACUACGUGCCAGCAGCCGCGGUAAUACGUAGGUGGCAAGCGUUGUCCGGAAUUAUUGGGCGUAAAGCGCGCGCAGGCGGCUUCUUAAGUCUGAUGUGAAAUCUCGGGGCUCAACCCCGAGCGGCCAUUGGAAACUGGGGAGCUUGAGUGCAGAAGAGGAGAGUGGAAUUCCACGUGUAGCGGUGAAAUGCGUAGAGAUGUGGAGGAACACCAGUGGCGAAGGCGACUCUCUGGUCUGUAACUGACGCUGAGGCGCGAAAGCGUGGGGAGCAAACAGGAUUAGAUACCCUGGUAGUCCACGCCGUAAACGAUGAGUGCUAGGUGUUAGGGGUUUCGAUGCCCGUAGUGCCGAAGUUAACACAUUAAGCACUCCGCCUGGGGAGUACGGCCGCAAGGCUGAAACUCAAAGGAAUUGACGG